GUGUUACUCCGGUAGCACAUACACUAAAAUUGAAGCGAUACAGAGAAGAUUAGCGUGGCCCCUGUGCAAGGAUGACACGCAAAUUGCUCAUUUUU
rnacentral:snRNA from 1 species